UCCCCAAAGCUGCCGGGGCUCCGUGACUCAGCCCGGGGCCCUGGCUCCACCGGGCAGCUCCUGGCGGGCGCCUGUGCCUGUGUCCACCCGGGGGAGGGUCCCUGGGCACCAGCUCCCUCGGGAGGGCGGCCAUGUGCUGGGUCAGGAGCCCCACAUGGGGAGCAGGGGGCGCCCUGGCAGGACCGCACUGGGCACCUUGGAAGCUGAGCCUGCAGAGACAGACCCACCUCACCUCAUACAAUAAUCGAUUGUCUUCGUGGACCCCACACUUACUCAGGCUCACGCAGAGCGUGAGUGCCUGCGUGGACCUCCCAUGCACCCUGGGGCCCUGGGCCUCCGCCUUGCCCAUUGGCCACCCAUGGCUCCCCCGUGGGGCCUGGUCUCCAGGCGGCCACGGUCUGCCCAGGUUGGAACACACAGAACUCGUGACCACCAGAAAUCCUGCCUGGAGUUGGACAGUGAUCCACAUCAAGUCAUCAGCCUGAACUGGCUGUAUUUCUAGAUACUUCAUACUUUUAGAUAAAACGUAAAUGGUGUGCAGCACACCUAUCUUGAGAGUGAACUCUCACCCAUGAGACGCAUGCACAGACGCAGGUCACACACGUCUUUACCCCGGCGGGAGCGGAGCUCGCUCUCAGAAAGUCCCGUCGCUUCCAGUGGGCCCCGCCCCUAAUCAGAGGUAUCCGGCUUCCUGCUUUGGGUCAUCAGAGGCUUGGGGACCGUCCCAUGUAACCCAAGUCCUGCGUCUGCCCUGCGUCUCCACGAGGGGGCUGGCAGGGAGGUGGGCUGGUUUUGUUUUCCAGUGUCAGAGUUUUGUUCCUACUUAAUUCUGAAUGGAAUUCCAUUUCAUGGCUGAACCACAAUUUGUUAAUCCAUCUUUCUGAUAAUGAACAAACAUUUAAGUUUUCUUCCAUUUUUCCCCCUACAAUACAAAUAAAGCUGCUCUCAGUAAGUUCAUGUAA